AGUAUUUUCGGAUCGCAUGUAUUUGAUUAUUAAAGUUCCAACGGUAAAAGAUGAGUAUGCGUCCCAUUAGCUAGUUGGUAAGGUAACGGCUUACCAAGGCUACGAUGGGUAGGGGUCCUGAGAGGGAGAUCCCCCACACUGGUACUGAGACACGGACCAGACUCCUACGGGAGGCAGCAGUGAGGAAUAUUGGACAAUGGGCGCAAGCCUGAUCCAGCCAUGCCGCGUGCAGGAUGACGGUCCUAUGGAUUGUAAACUGCUUUUAUACAGGAAGAAACACUCCGACGUGUCGGAGCUUGACGGUACUGUAAGAAUAAGGAUCGGCUAACUCCGUG
rnacentral:rRNA from 1 species